UACGAAGGGGGCUAGCGUUGCUCGGAAUCACUGGGCGUAAAGGGCGCGUAGGCGGCCAUUUAAGUCGGGGGUGAAAGCCUGUGGCUCAACCACAGAAUUGCCUUCGAUACUGGAUGGCUUGAGACCGGAAGAGGUAAGUGGAACUGCGAGUGUAGAGGUGAAAUUCGUAGAUAUUCGCAAGAACACCAGUGGCGAAGGCGGCUUACUGGUCCGGUUCUGACGCUGAGGCGCGAAAAGCGUGGGGAGCAAACAGG
rnacentral:rRNA from 1 species